rnacentral:lncRNA from 1 species
GCUAUAUGCCUUGUGUUGGCAAUAGGAAGUUAGUGUGUGCAAAUAGUAUCGCAAAUCAUAGGAAGUCCCUGCCGAUUUGAGAAUCCUAUUGUUCGUUCGUACCUUGUACAGUAACAGAAGAGAAUUCUAACCAUGGAUUGUAUAUGGAGUUAGAAAAAUUACUAUAAUCCUCAGUGCUUCCACUUUUAGGGUUUAGACCUCAUGGUUUUGCAAUGAUCGACUAGCAUCUUUCGAUAGAGAAUGCCCAGUUCCUUCUUUCUUAUCUGACCCACCUAAACAAAUUGCAGGUGCAAGUCUAGUUACAGGGACAAAUAAGACAUUUUAACUUGUUGACGUUCGCAAUGGCAUUCUCUUUCAUAUGGCAAGUUGACUCGAAGGUACCAUUUUCUAUCGAAGUCAGUAGGGAAGACCCAUUUAGUUAUCUAGGACAGGGAGUGAAAACUAGGCCUGCUGGAUCCUACUCAGCUGCUGUAACUACUACUCAAGAGCCCCUUUCACCAGAAGUAGCAUUUUCUGCUGAGUGUAUUCCAAGGCUAAUCCAAUCCACAUUGACCAAGACCAUGGGUUGUUUCCGUAAGGGGGUGAUCUGCCAUCUUGAAUAUAGUGCCAGAAAAGACCGAGCUGGAGGAAAUGGCUGGGGCAGGAGGAAGAAGAUGUCCGAUUUAUAGGAGGGAAGUUAGUACCGGAUGGAGGCUUGGAGUUAAGGUUGGAGGCUUACUGGGUGAAGCCUCCACCCGGUACUAAAGGUUGCCAAUUACUGGGUGAAGCCUCCACCCGGUACUAAAGGUCCUCAGGCACAUUAGUACUGGUUGGAGGCUUCAACUGGUACUAAUGCGUAUCCUUUAGUACCGAUGAAGCCUGCACCCGGUACUAAAGGGGAUCACGGGGCGCUACUGGGGAACUAGCCGUUAGUGCCGGUACUAAUACUCGGGUCAAAAACCAACCGGUACUAAGCCUCGGGAUGCAUGCUGAGCCUAGGGAUCCACACGCGUAAUUAUGAAGCAAUAAUUACAAGGAUUCAAGUUGACUCUGGAGAAAGAUCUGCCAGCGAUAUGUGAGCAAUUACACGUUGGAUCACAUGUUUGGUACUGUUUACAUUGAGUCAUAACCUAUAUUUUUUCUCUCCGAUCUGAUCAAGUGUAAUCAUUUAUGAAUCAAUAACUCUUGAGAAAUAAUAACCAUCAUAAACAAUUAUGAAGCAAAAAUAACCAAGGAUUUGAGUUGACUGAGGAGAAAGAGCCGCCCACAAUAUGUGUGGAAUUACACGUUGGAUCACAUGUUUGGUACAGUUUACAAGAGUAAAGAAACAAACCAUCGAGUCAUAAUAAAUUAUAAUUUGCCCCUUUGAUCCGAUCAAGUAAUCACUUACUCCCUCCGUCCUAAUAAAUCGUAGGUCGUUUUGGCAUUUCUAUAAUCAUAACUUUUGCUAUGCAAGCAAAAGUUAUGAUCCUAGAAAUGCCAAGGUGCAUAGCAAAAGUUAUGAUCCUACAAAUGCCAAAACGACCUAUAAUUUGGGACGGAGGGAGUAGGAAGCAAUAACAUGAUACCUGAAUUAUGAAAGAUUUGCAUUUGACUUUACCAAAAUCUCUUCCAGCAAUAUGUGAGUCAAGUGGGGGUUGUUGCUCUGAUUCGUCUACAUAUAAUUUAGGGCUCCACUAAGUACGCAGUGUAGCACAUGCAUGAAACAUCGUCUCACAUGUAUCUUUCUGGAUCCAGGAUAAGCACAUUGUUAAUUAUUCAUCCUCUGCCCAUUAACUGGAGUUCCAUUAAUAUAAUGACUAUCCAGUCCUGCUACACGUUACUAGAUCACACGGUUUGUUCUGUCAACCUGAGUUAAGAGGCACAUAAUGCUAGGUUGAAGUUAUGAGCAAAGUACCAUAUGUAUCCCAGAUCUGAUUAACCACUUAUUAUAAUUGAGAAUACAAGUUGUUUAGGACGUUGACACCGUCUACGGCUAGGUGAUGUUUUGAGAAAAAUUUCUGUGCCACCAUGAUGAUUAUGAUAAUGAUUUUUAUGUAUAGCAGAAGUUUUACGGAGCAUCUAGUAAUAAUUAUUUUGUAUGCUCAUUCUUCCGAAGAAAAUUACAUUAAUGGUCAAACUGAUGGAAAUUUUACUUGCAUGAAUCCUAAAACCUACCUUAUAUUUAUUAAUUGGGAGUGGUAAUUUAUAAAAACGAAACAGCCUGAUAAUGACUUUCGAAACCACAGCAAAGGAUUCCAACUGACCUACAUAGUAUAUUGCCAGCAUCAUGUGAGCUAUGUGUCCCUUGUUUCUUUGAUUCCAACUGGCCUUGGAGUUGCAAAUACUGUUGACUAGCUACUCCCAACCGAGUUAGGAAUAUCCCAAUUUAAUGCGACCAGGGGAGUAUGUGGUCUACAAUAUUUGCAACUCAAAGUAUAGACCGAUUGCAACCCUGACCAUUGGCCAGUGCAACUGCACGGUCGAAUUUAUUGCACUUAGAUAUUAAUGUGGGGAUGUUGGUGGCGUGCAGUAUAAGGCAGGGGGUUGUAUGAAAAAUGUUCCGAGGAACUGUGCCUAGCUGCUUGCACCGUAUAUCUCCGAUCUGACGGUCCAUGGUUGGAGUUUUCGGGAUUCCACCUACCAGAUGGUUUGCACUGCAUAUUUACCCCCAUAUAAAGUAUUCAACAAACAUGAGUGCAGCAUACCAGGGCCAUGUGAAACCAUGUUACCUUCUAUGGACUAGGGUAGAUCCCUCUAUAAAUACAACCCCCUUCUAUCACACUUCAAAUACGAUACGGGAGUAAGGAAAUAGAUACCCUACGAUCCUAGCUAGCCAUGACCUCCUACUAUGCAAUAGCCGUGCUUUCAUUGCUUGCCUUUUCCAUCUCUGCGGUACGCGCGCUGGAUGACAAGAAGCUGCAAACCACCCUAUACAUAAAACAGACAUAUGCCACGGACCAAAGGCCUUUGGGAACUGAUACAGUCAUCAUUAAUUGGGUCAUAAAGGAUGGGCCUGAUGGGAAUCCCAUCGGGCAUGCAGAGGGCCUCACGACCCGUGCCAACCCAGCCCAGAAUUUAUGGGAAACCAUAAUGGAUUUGGUGUUCGAGAGUGGAAGGUAAAGAAUCCUUUUUUGGCUACAGAAUUGCUUGUGUUGUGGUAUUUACACAAGUGUAUGUUUAUCAUAUUAUGUGGUUGUCUUCAAAAAGAUGUUUUGGGGUUUUAAACAUAGCUUCGACAACUUUUUAUUAAUUUUGUUAUAAAAAUAUAAAACAUAUGAUAUAUCAAUGCAAUUUUAAUACGAUUGUAAACGGACAUAUACCAUCUCCAUUUUUUUGAACCAGGUACUUUACAAGUUUUGUAUGGACAAAGUUUUCAAUCUUUUACUGGGACCUUGUCCCAAACUCUGUUUUGGACUAGAACUUGGUGAUGCAACUGUUACGCCCUACACUGCUACUCCUGACCUUUUAAAUUAUGCAUGCAUAUUCUGAUUCUGUCAACAAAAUAGCCUCGCUGGAUCAACACUUAAGGUGAUGGGCCGUCUUGGGGGCAAGAUCAGUGGACCAGGCCAGUGGAGUGUUAUGGGGGGUACAGGAGACCUUACAAUGGCACGAGGUAUUAUAAAUUACAAAAUAAUCCAAGAAGACGGUGCCAGCAGGACCUUUGAAAUAUCCAUAUUUGCAUACUACACUUCAAAGGAAACCAUUCCGGUAAGUGCCAGAUACAUUUUUAUCUGUUGCUAGUAUUGAAAUUUUCUCUUCAUAUUUUGGAUAAAAUUAAAUAGGACAGCAAACAUCUAUACAUACCUUACCACUGCAGUGUACAUAGAAGUAGUUUUAGUGAAUAGAUGAAUUCAUCUCCAUGAAUGUGAAUAUGUGAUGGAAACAAUACUCACAAAUGAUGAAUGACCACAUUCAUAAAUUUUAUGCAGAUUCCGGGUGGUAUUGGCAUUUUCCCUUGAGACAUUGCACUUCGGACAUAGAUUGAGACCAUCCUUCGCAUGUUUGUGUGUGUUGAGACGAGAUGACUACUAGAUCUACGAUCUAUUUUAUGCUUCAUCCUAAAUAAAUUAUCCGCCUAUGUAUGAAUCCUAAAACCUACCUUAUAUUUAUUAAUUGGGAGUGGUAAUUUAUAAAAACUAAACAGGCUGAUAAUGACUUUCGACCACAGCAAAGGAUUCCAACUGACCUACAUAGUAUAUUGCCAGCAUCGUCUGAGCUAUGUGUCCCUUGUUUCUUUGAUUCCUCUACCUCUGUAGCGAGCAUAAUUCACUUGCGGUGAACGCUAAUUUCUGAUAAGUUACCAAGCCAAGCCUUGCAUUACAAUGGUCAAUUUUGAUACGAGCAGUCGAUGAAGAUGGCAUGUUGAUCCCCACGGAUGAUGCAUGUCAAUAAAGCGUUAAUCCUUAGCUUCAUCCCAUUCGCUAAUAAAGACACAAAUGCCAAUGUCUAUCAUCAUAUGAAUAAAGCUCUUUUUUUGGCUUAUUUGAUUCUUUUUUCCUUCGACGUUCUGUUUAGCAUCACUUUAGCUGAUGUUGAGUUUUGGGUAGAACGGCAAUAGGUUAGGAGACUAUAUCAAGAAAUAUAUGAUCCACUGAUGGGUUUGCUCGAGCUGUAGCUUGAGCUAGUUGAGUACGAGGACUUCGAUGACAUAGAUUCUCAUGACCAUGGUUUCCAUGGAACCAAUGUUUGCUGAGUGCAUUCUAUUGAGCACUCGACAAACAAGUUUUUUGCCGAGUGCUGUAAAAAAACACUCGGUAAAGUUUGGCACUCGGCAAAUGAGGAAAAAAACACUCGGCAAAAGCUAGGCACUCGGCAAAGAACCGCCACGUGGACAUCCGUCAGCCCGUGUGCCGUCCGUUAGUACGUUUGCCGAGUGUCCGUUAGUGGAAACACUCGGCAAACAAAUACACUCGUCAAAAGAGCCAAAAGACACUCAACAAAGGUAGACACUCGGCAAACAUAUAUGUUUGCCUGAGUGUAAUUAUUUGGCACUCGGCAAAUGAGUGCCAAAUAAUUUCAUUUUUUUUCUCUUUUGACCUUGAAACUUUUUCUACUCUCCACAUACAACAUCUGGUAUUCCAUGUUAAAAUUUGGUAUAUUUCUAGAUCUGUUUGCUAUAUUUAAUUAAUUUAUUGCAUUUCUAGGAAUUUUUUGGAAUAAGUCAAAUUUGAACUGCAAGUUAUUCAAAUAAUAGAAUAAAAUGAGUAGAAAAAUGAUAUUCAUGUUACUGAGUCCAGUGUGAGGCCUUACCCGGGAAAUGAAAUGAAAUUUUAAACAUCUUGUUCAGAAAACACGACCACGAAUGUGUGGCGGAAUGGUUUUUAAAUUCUAAACAAAGCAAAUGAAGUCUGAAAAUCAUGAGAUUUGUCAUGAUGUGAUGAUAUCAUACGUGGAGGCUGUGGUAAAAAAUUGAGAAGGUUUUGCAUAAUUUUUCACGUACGAUGUUUACAAACCGAAGCAUCUCAGAAGAAGAAUCGUAGCGUUGAGAAGGAUUCGGUAAGAUUUGGAGUCAAAGCGAUGGUCGAAUUGGGGUUUGACUUCAAAACUUUUAGUAUAGGCGAUAGAGAACAUAGAUUGUUUCAUGUGAAAUUUUGGUAAUUUUUUGGAUCUCCCUUUGAUAAUUUUAAUUUAUUCAGUGCAAUUAUAGAAUUUUAAUGGAUAUAAAUUAAAUUUGAGUUGUAACUGCAUAAAAUAAUGGAAUAAUAUUUGUAGAAAAAUUAAGUAUAUAUUGUUGAGUGAAUUUAACAAGGUAUUUUCAAAGUACAUCAGAAUAAUUUUAGAAAAACACGUUAUGGAAAAGAAGGAAAAGAAGGAAAAUUAAAAAAAAGCAGGGUUUGCCGAAUGUCGAAUCAGGGCACUCGACAAACCCAUCUUUGCCGAGUGUCAGAUCUGAGAUACUCAGCCAACAAACUUCAUAUCCACCGGCGCGUCCCUCACCCCCCCCACACACACGCACACACGCAAACCCACCUGCACACACGCACCCGCACACCCGCUGCCAGCUCCCAACGCCUUGCCGUAGGCACGUCCCGUGCCACCGUCCUCCCACGCCGCGCCCGCAAUGUGAACGGCAUCCUUGGUAUUUUGAUUAGGGAAAAGUCCCCUGGCCUGGUGCAGUUCGACGAAACUGUCGAGCCAGCCUACACGUGGGCCCACUAUGCUGCCAUCCCCAACGCCCUUGAUCGGGAUGGUAGGGUAUUCGCCAACAAGGUGUAGCGUUUCAAGGCCGAGCUUUGGGUAACUCUUUCUGGCACUACAUUGCUCAAUACAUGGCACUGAUUGGACAUUCUUGAAAUAAUGACUGGAUACAUCGCGUCUAUAUGCAAGAUUUCUUUAGAUGCAAGGAGGGAUACGAGGCCAAGGCGGAUGCUGUGGCUGACAAAUCUGCCAAGAAAGUCAUCAAGGACAUGCACUACGAGGUGCGCGUCCAGGCCGUGAUCCAAUACCAUGCAGACAUCCAUAGAGUGAGGAUCGCUAAAAGUGAGGCAAGAACCAUGAAGCUAACCCGGGAACAAUACAUGCAGGUAAAUAUAGAACAUUAAUACUUAUUUUUUCUAAGAUUAAUUACACUUAAUUUCAUUUUCUUAUAUGUCAUAUACUUGAUGACGUAGGUGCCUCCAUGGUGGUGCGCCCACGAUCUGCAGUGCUGGGCCCGAAUGGUGGACAGGUGGUGCGACCCCGCGUGGGAGGAGAAUCACAACACUUGCUGGGAGCGGCGUUUGUGGAUGAGGGGUGCACCACACCAUCAAGGCAACCUCAAACUCUCAGAAUACGUGGGUACACGAAUGCAUUUCUUUAUUCUAACGCUCAAUUCUCCAUAAUUUCUAAUCAUAUUGCUUUUUUUUGCAGUCGGCGGCACAUGGUGGCGAGCCUUGCUCCCAGUUCAAGGCAUAUGAUUUGGCCCACAAGGGCAAGGUGAUGGCUGACGUCGCCUACAACCCGGAUGACCCACCCUUGGCGUACAACUAUGAGUCCGUCCACAGUUGCCUUGAUGGAUACACAUCGAUGGCAAGGGCAGUCCAUGGCCCAGAGUACGAUCCGAGUGCCCAUGACCUUGAUGGAGAAGUGGUCAUGAGGACGGGAGGAGGCAAGAAGCAUGGCCGGUUCUAGAUUGGUGACGACAGAAUCGACACGGCCAGUGCUCCGACUCUCUCCCAACUUCGAGCACGGAGCACGAGUUCCAGCCUAGCGAUACGCCCCUGGCCGGACUCUACAAGGUUCCAGAUGAACGAACUCCAGGUUAUUUCUAUUUUAUUCAUCGUUCAUUGAUUUUUACAUACUUUUGCGUUGCAUUGUAACAUUAGGAUGAAAUAUUGUAGGCCCAGCUGGAACAAGAGAGGAGGCUACGGCAGGAGCUCGAGCGGAGGAUGGAGGCAGAGCGUUUGCAGAUGUUUGAAAUGAUGAGGGGUGUUUACGCUGCAAUCGAUCAACCUCCGCCACCGAUGCUAGUCCCUCCUCCUCAACCUGCUCCAAAUACUCCACCAGGCACUGUGAGUGACUUCAUAAUCUUAUAAUCACCGUUUCUAGUUUAUGCAGAAUCAAUCUUUUCUCCUUUGUGAUGUGCGUUUCUAAUUUCUAGUUUAUUUCUAGUUUGUAGUUAACCUUGUAAUCAUUGUUUCUUUCUCAAUCACUUUAACUUAGCUACUUUCAGUUUCCGCAGAAUUAAUCACUAUUUCUAGUUGCUAGUUUAUUUCUAAUACUUGUAUGUUUCGUUCUUGUGAAUGAUUUAUCUCUUCUCCUUUGUGCAGAAUCAAUCUGCGGCAUCGAAUGAGCCUUAUGACCGACCGUGCUCACAAUGGUCACCAUGAUCACAGUGACUACGUUUAUUUGCAUUUAUGAUGAGCCUCGAGAGCGAUUGUGAACAAACCUACUUGUGAUUUUUAAGAGUAUUUGCAUUUGUGAUUGUGAACAAACCUACUUGUGAUUCUGAAGUUUAUUUGCAUUUAUGUGUUGUCGAUAUAUCUAUAUGAACUACCUGUGAUGCUUAUUGUGAACUAUCUAUGAUGGACGUAAUGUUUAUUUGAGUAUGGUAUGUUAUAUGUGACCGAACAAAAUAAACUGGAUAUAUAUGGUAGUUUUGCCAAGUGUUACACUCAGCAAAAGCCCUCUUUGCCGAGUGCCAUGCGAAAUACACUUGGCAAAGGGGCCAUGUGGCAAAAACCUGUGCAUUCUGGGCUUAAAAUGGAAUCUUUGCCGAGUGUUAGGGCCUGUGAAACUCGGCAAAGGGGCCAAAAUCUGGGCCUAGAUUGGCAUGUUUGCCGAGUGUUAGGGCCAGGACACUCGACAAACAAAGGCAUGUUUGCCGAGUGUCAGGACUGGGAUACUCGGCAAACGGGCAUGUUUGCUGAGUGCCCAGGCCGUUAGACACUCGGGAAACGCGCCGUGAUCAUCUCCGCGCCGUCACAUUGCUUUUUUUUUUGCUGAGCAUCGGGUUUAGCACUCGGCAAAGUCUUUGCCAAGUGCGUGAUAAAAAACACUCAGCAAAAAAACAUUUGCCGAGACUGUAGACGCCGAGUGCUUUGUCGAGUGCUUUUUGGGCUUUGCCCUGUGCCGUGGACACACGGCAAUCCUAUUGUUUCCGGUAGUGCGUUCUACACGUUCAUGGCACCCUAUGUGUCGAAAAAUCCACGAGCCGCGUAUAUCAACUACAUGGAUCUCGAUCUGGGCACCAAUGACUGGAAGAAUGCUACUGGUGGAACGUCUGUGGCCCAUGCAGCAUCAUGGGGCGAACGUUAUUUCUUCACCAACUUUGAUCGGUUGGUUCGGGCCAAGUCUAAGGUUGAUCCUGAAAAUGUGUUCAACAAUGCACAAAGCAUUCCUCCAUUACAUUAUGUUAGAGAGCACAAAUUUAUAAGUGGCAUGUAACUACAAACAUUAAAUGAAUGGAUAAUCUGAUGUUUGGAGGAGUUCUUGUGUUGUUAAUGGUGUUCUUGUUUACCUUCAUAGUUCUACAAAUUUCUAAGAAAAAAUAGACAAACAAUACUUCAUCACCUUUUUCAAAUUAAGUUAUCUAAAUAAGUUAUUGGAAAAAUCUUUUAAAUACUUUAUGGGAUAGUUUGUUAAUAUUAUUUUGAAAAGUUAUAUAAAUAUUUUAUGGGGCAAGGGCGGCCGGCCGGUGGGGGGCGCCGGCGGUGCUCGCAGCGAGGGGUGAGGGUGGCCCGCGAGGUGGCGAGGGCGGCUGGCCGGCGGGGGGUGCCGGUGCUGCUCGCAGCGAGGGGGUGAGGGCAGCCAAUGGGGGGUGCGGGUGGCUCUCGCGGCGCACUAGCGGAGACAGAGUGAUAGUGGGUGUGGCUGGAACUGUGGAAUUAGAGAUUAUAUACUUAGGAUUCUUGUUGGGCUGAGCUAUACCUAGUUGUUGGACUGCAAUGUACACUUCGGGCCCGUGAGUCACCCAUGGGGGAAAUUCAAAAUCCGCUCCGCCCCCGCCCCAUUUCGGGUCGCUGAACCCACAAACCCGCGGGGGGAACAGACCCGCCCCCACCCCCAUUGGGUCCAAACCCGCCCGACUGCCAUCCCUAACUAGGGCACCAAAAGGUUUUUGAUUAUGGUCACUUUGGUCGCAUGGAGAAUAGUGCUCGAUAUUUUUCUGGAAGCUCGAUAUUUUUUUUUGGAAGGACAUAGAUGAAAUGCCAAUUAUGAACGAGCUUCGCUACUUGGAACUAUUUAACUGUGAACUCACUACCGCUGGACUGUCUGUCAUCCUUGACAAUUGCCCUCUACUGGAAUCGCUCCACAUUACAGGGCUUUCAGUUGGCAGGAUGAAAAAGAAUUUAAGGGAGAGAUGUGGUAGGCUGAAGGAACUAACUCUUCCUGCCCAUGAGUUAGCAGGUAACUCUUCCUGCCCAUGAUCUCUUUAAUCAGUGGGAGUAAGACUUUAAUUACAUAUAAAAGGUAUGCCUAGUCUUUUCGGGAUCUUUGUGUUGCAUUAUUGGUGAAGUCUAUCCGAAAAGAUUGUAUAGUGGAAAGAGGAAGUACCUAGAUUUAGCUAAGGAAAGGUGCACAACUGGUGGUACGACUCCCUUCGUCCCAAAAAUAUAAGUCAUUCUCCGAUUCAAAAUUUGUCAAAAAACAAGUUAUUAUACUCAAUUUGGAAUGUGUACAUGCGCAUGUGGACAGGCGGCAGUCAAUUAGCACCAAAUAUGGUUAAUAAAUAGGGGCAAUCGAGGUUAUUUUACCUCCUUAUUAAUCUGUCCAAAAAUUCCUAGGAUGACUUGUUUUUUGGGACGGAGAAAGUAUGUUUGUAAAAAUGGUCUCGGACAACUUGCAUGUCUAUGAUGUAUAUAUUGUGGAGAGAUAGAAAAGUCCUUUUAGAGCUCUCACACAAUGAUUUAGCAUAUAUCCUUACAAUUUGAAGGAAUUCCUGGGGAUCACCCUGUUUGAGAAGCGUCCAUCCGUUAGAUGUCUUUACAUCCAAUGAAGUACUGAAUCAGGCAAUCAAGAAGCCCUUUCCUUGAAGUUAUUGAAAUUUCAGCCAUAUUUUUACAGAACAGUGACGUUCUAAUCUGUUUGCCAAGCUUGUUCCCGUCUGUAAAAACAUUCUCACAAGGUUGUAGUUUCAACGAUGUCAGAAUUGUUUGGUUGUGAACUGACUACUGGCAGACUGAAGAACAACAUUAUUGACAGUUCACCUCUACUAUAGUCUCUGCACGUUGAUGGCUCUUUCCAACUGGAGGGGUGAACGCUGGCAAGCAUUUGGAUCUCGUCUAAAUAUACAUAAAAUUUGCCAUUCAAAAAUAAAGUUAAGCAUCAAUCAUUAAUGUUUUAGCCGACCUCACAACCGACCUGAAACUGAAAGGCUAUACAUUUUUUAAAUAAUUUUCUGAAAACAAAUCAUUGACAGAGGAGUCCGAGUCACUUAAGGAGGAGAAAGGAUGGACUAAUUUGAAGUCUCUUCGCACACGAUUUCGAUUCCUGUUGUUACUGCCGAAGAUCCACGCGUUCCCAACCCAAGCGAUGGCCUCCUCCUCCGGCAGCUGCUGCCUCCGCCGCUGCAUGGAACCUCCGCCAGCGGCGAGGGACUGGGCGGGGCUGCCGCGCGACGUCCUGUGCAUCGUCUUCCUCAAGCUGGGCAUCCGGGAGAUCAUGCGCGGCGCCGAGUUCGCGUGCACGGCGUGGCGCCGCGUCGCGCUCAAGGAGCCCGCGCUGUGGCGCCGCAUCUACAUGCCCACGAUCUGGAGGUACUCCAAGACAUGGCGCCGCCCUGGACCGCGCCGCCGGCCAGUGCGUCGCCUUCACCGGACCCUGCGACAACCACUCCCUGCUCGACCUCGCCGAAAGGUAUUCAUCGUGUUCUUCGUUCUUGUUACCUUCUACUCUGAAAUCUGAAUGGAUUGGAGAACUUGCAAGCUCCAAUCCAGAUCUGUUGUUUCAUUACAUGAACUACUAUAAGUGUAUUGUUCUGACUCGAAGGUGUGUGUUCCUGCAGAGCACCGUCUUUGAAAAGCCUCGAUCUCUUCGACUUUGUUGCGUGCAAUGAAGUGUUGGACGAAGCCCUCAAGCAGCUCCCUCUCCUAGAAGAUCUUGAAAUUUCACCGGCGCAUCGCAGCUCCGACGACUCCAGAAGGCUGUUCCUUCCAGUUUGCCAAGCUUGUCCCCGUCUCAAGAAACUCGUGCUCGGGCGCCAGAAGGUUUUUGCCCAUGACUACUCUGACGACGGCGUGGAUGAUGGUGACCAGCAGCAGAGUCAUCGAGAGCGGUGGUCAUGGGAUUGCAUAUUUCGUCCCGCUGUCGAGAAACAAGCACUUGAAACUCCAGUUAUGUCCGAGCUACGCUCCUUACAACUGUUUGACUGUGAACUCAAUACUGCUGGACUGUACCAAAUCCUAGAUGUGUGCCCUCUACUGGAAUCUCUCCACGUUACAGGGCCUUCCGUUCAUGGCGAGAUGGAAAAGAAGCUAAGGGAGAUAUGUGCUGGACUGGGGAAAGGGAGUCUUCCUAGUCAUGAGGCAGCAGAUGAUGAAGGUUCAGAUGAUUACUGUAAUUCACAGGAGUAUGAUGACUGGAACUAAAGAGUAUUAUGCCUACUGAUCUUCUAGGGAUCUUUAGAGUUGCAACAACGGAAAUAAAGGUGCAUUGCUAUAAUGACAUUGUGUAACGGGGUCCUUUGCGGACUUGGGGCAUCAAUGUCACAUUUUAUUGAAUUUCAAGGCACCUACAAGUUUUACAUAUGUAUCUAUGAUCUGUCUAAUUUGACUCUGCUCAACUGAUGUUCUUGGCACUAGUUUAUUGUGCAUCACACAGAGAUGACUGUCUUAAAAGACACAGGCUGCCGUCGAGAUCUUUUUUUUUCCUUAUACAUUUAUGUGUCAUGUACUCAGGUCAACUCACAACUUUAUGAAUUCUACCAAGUGUGGAAUAGUGAUGAAAUGACUAGCUAUCUUUGCUGAAAGCAAUAUUAAUAGUCCAUCCCUUAACAUUGGUCGCAGUGAUGAUGUCAACGUGGAUGGCAUACGACAAUAGCAUCAGGGCUUGUUUAUGGACACGACGAAGACCAAGACGGCCAGCGAAUGGCGUUCAGCAUGAACUCCUCUCCGCAGCACCACCGGCCUCGUCUUGUUGGGCGGCAUCUUCACCGGCUUGUUUAUAGAAUGCUUGAUUUUACUGAACAUAUUUUCUGGAUAAAUUCAGAUGUUGCCUGGCUGAUAUAGGGAUUAGAAUUAUAUUUCUGAAAUUUUUUGAACAAAUCAAGAUACUGGAAUAUAUCUACAAAUUCUGAGCAUUGAUGCACUGUAGUCUUUUAUUUCUUCGAUCGAUUUCACAAUAUUUUGGUUCUUGUCAGACAGGCAACAUACCAACUGACAACGAAAAUAAGCAUCAAACCGUUGUGCACACAGCAAUAUGUCUCCUUGGGUUCUUCCAUGGGCUGCCAAACCUGAGGUCGUAGUCGUCCAUGGAGUCACACGGUAGCCACAGCGUCUUUCACCCUAGUAGCACCCUAACGGAAGUAUCAUGAACUAAAGAUAUUGUCCGGAUCUCCUGGGCUCCAUGGCUCAACCUCAGGGCUGCCUGUGGCUCCAUCUCAGGGCUUCCAAACCUGAGGUCGUAGUCGUGCAUGGAGUCAUGCGGUAGCCUCAGCAUCCACACCCUAGCACACUUGGCACGCAUCUCAUCGUCCAUCUCGACGUUGAAGCAGUGGCGGAUGUCGAGGGACUCGAGGCCAGCGCAGCCACCGAGGAUGGCCGCGAGGCUGGCAUUGCUGAGGCUGUUGCCGAAGAUCUGCAGCGACCGGAGGCUGCACAUCCCGGUGAUCCCCAUGGCACGCCGCCGGACCGCCAGUCGAAGCAGUACCUGCUCAGCCGGAGGCGGUUCAGGAGCGGGCAGGCCUCGGCAGCGGCCGCACAGGUCUCGGCGAGGUUGAUGAGGCCAUGGUUGGUGGCGGCGCCGGAGUAGAGUGAAAGCUCGAGAUCCUAAGCACGGGGAGCUCCCAUAUCCCUCCGUGGAAGAAAAGGAGGAAACAUGGUGCCUAUCUUGACUCACCACGGUUGCACGUUUAUAUAUGGUGAAAAUCACCGAGAGUUUUACAAGGAUACAAUCAUGAUCACCUAGGACUCGGUUUGCUUUAUAAUUCGUAUUACACAAGGUUUAUCUCCAAGCAACCGAGUCUAUCUCUAAGAUCACAAUUGUCACGCACGUGCACGAGUUUAUCUCCAACACUCUAACGCACGGCACAUUACCUUAUUACAACCAUGAUUCUAACAUCCCUCCCUCAAUCUAAACUUCUCUACUUCUUGAGAUUUAGAUUGUGCUUAAAAUAUUCAAACUCCCCAGUUGUCAAGGCUUUAGUGAAACCAUCUGCAACGUGAUCAUGAGUAGAUACUAACUGGACUUGUAAUUGUUUCUUAGUAACCCUCUCACGUACAAAAUGAAAAUCAAUUUCAAUGUGCUUUGCACGAGCAUGAAAGACUAGAUUUGCUGAAAGAUAUGUAGCUCCCAAGUUAUCACACUAUAAUAUGGGCGGCUGUGUUAAUUUUACUCCAAGCUCAAGCAGCAAAGAUUCCAACCAAAUCAGCUCCGCAGUAGCAUUAGCUAUAGAUUUAUAUUCUGCUUCAAUACUAGAUCUUGAAACUAUAGCUUGCUUUCUAGCACUCCAAGACACUAGAUUAGGACCAAAGAAUAUUGCAAACCCUCCGGUAGAUUUUCUAUCAUCAACACUACCAGCCCAAUCAGCAUCAGAAAAUGCACUCAAAGUUGUCGAAUUUGCCUUCCUCGUAUGCAACCCAACAUCCAAAGUAGAUUGAACAUAACGAAGAAUUCGCUUAACAGCUGUCCAAUGAAUAGACGUUGGUGCAUGUAAAAAAUGACAUACCUUGUUAACUGAAAACGCUAGAUUAGGCCACGUGAGAGUAAGAUACUACAACACUUCUAUAAUGUGCACUGUCUUCUGGUCCCAAUGAUUCUCCUUCAAAACUUGAAAGCUUCUCCGUACUUGAUAAUGGCGUCGGUGAACCCUUACACUUCACCAUACCAACACGUGUUAGAAUCUCACAUGCAUACUUCUCUUGUGACAAUAGCAACCCAUCUUUAUUUCUUUGAACGUCAAUUCCCAAAAAAUAAUUUAGAUCCCCAAGAUCCUUUAGAGAAAAUUCCUUCCUCAAGUCCAAUAGAAGAGCUGUGACAGCCUCACUAGAAUUGCUAGUGACAAUAAUAUCAUCAACAUAUAUUAGCAUAUAGAUAACCACUCCUGAUCUCUAAUAAAUAAAUAAUGAGCUAUCAGACUUUGAGGCUAAGAGCCCAAUUUCAACAAGCUUUGAACUUAGCCAUGCAUACCAAGCAUGAGGGGCUUGCUUCAAACCAUAAAUCGCCUUGUCAAGCUUACAUACCAAGUGUGACGCACCAUGUUUUUUCAUAUGGCUGUCUCAUAUAAACCUCCUCUUCCAGAACACCAUGAAGUAACACAUUCUGAACAUCCAACUAUCUCAAGCACCAAUCUUUACAAAUUGCUAACGAUAAAACAAGUCUUCCAGUAGCAAUCUUGACAAUUGGACUUAAUGUAUCCUCAUAUUCAAUCCCAUAUCAUUGAUGAAACCCUUUAGCUACCAAUCUAGCCUUGUAUCUGUCAAUUGCCCCAUCAGCCUUCUUUUUAACCUUGAACACCCAUUUACAGUCGAUUAGAUUGCACCCGCUCUUGGGCGGCUCAACUAGAUGCCACGUAUUAUUUUUGAGCAAUGUUGUGAACUCAUCUUGCAUAGCUUGUCUCCAUCUUGAAUGAUUCAAAGCUUCUUGCAAAUUUUCAGGUUCCCCAAUUGCACAGAAAUUUCCAUACCGAAUUGUCCCAUCCGUAAAUUUCUUGGGUUGAACAAUCCCAUGUUGAAGCCGUGUGCGUCACGGUGGUGAAGAAGCAACCGGCAGCGACACACCAGAUCCGGUCGGCAGCGCAGAAGAUCUGCCAGAAGACCCUGGCAGCCGAUCGGGCGCUCGCGCUGGCGCGAGGGUGCCACACAUCGCGUCAGGUGCUAGCUCCGUAGGCACAGGCGCUGGUGAUGCGCUCCCGCGGUGCUCUGCCCCCCCCCCACGCGGCGCGCCCUGGUUGGGCAACAUCAAUGACUUCACCAGGAACAUCAGUAGCAUUAGUCAAGCAACUUACAUCCCCAUGAUUGCGCAAACGUGAAGGCUAAAGGACAAUUUCUUGAUGGAGUUGGGCACCGGCAUUAGGAUUAAGUUGGGAGAAAGGAAACAACUCCUCAUCAAAGACUACAUCUCGAGAUAUGUAGAUACAUCCCGAGGAGAUAUCAAGGUAUUUGAAUCCUUUAUGCAUGGCGCUAUAGCCUAAGAAAGCACAACGAGUAGAACGAAAAGCAAGCUUCCGUGAAUUGUAUGGUCGCAAGUUGGACCAACAAGCUCAACCAAAGACUCAAAGAGACUUAUAAUCAAGAAUUUCAUGAAGGAGUCAAGUGACAGGAACAUCAUAGUUGAUGCCUUUGCUUUGAAGGAGAUUAAUGAGGUAGGUGGCAGUUAGAAAGGCAUGAUCCCAAUAUUUGAGUGGCAUGGAAGCAUUGGCCAGAAGGGAAAAUCCUACCUCAACUAUGUGCCGGUGUUUUCGUUUAGCCACGCCAUUCUGUUGAUGAGCAUGGGGACAAGAGACACGGUGAGAGAUUCCUAUACGCUAGAAAAAAGAAUUGAGCUUUUCAUAUUCUCCUCCCCAAUCUGAUUGCAUAGACUUAAUCUUGCGAGUUGCGAUUGAAUUUCCUUUCUACAAGUUGCUGGAAAUUUUAAAAAACUUGAAAGACAUCAGAUUUGUUCUUGAGUAAGUAGAUCCAAGUAUAUUUGCUAAAGUCAUCAAUGAAGCUCACAUAAUAGCUAUGCCGUCCAACAGAUAGGGGCGCCGACCCCCGCACAUCCGAAAAAAUCAAAUCAAGGGGAGAUUCAGAUGAACUAUUUGAUAUAGAAUAUGGAAGUUGACGGCUCUUGGCCAUCUGACAAGCAUUACAAAUAGUUUCUGAAUUUGAAUCACUAACACACGGAAGUUUAUUUAGACUAAGAACUUUCUCUAUGAUAGGAAGAGCAGCAUGCCCAAGUCUACUAAGCCAACAUGUAGUAGAGGCCUUAUGGAUGACAAAAGCAUGCUUGUGGGAAUCUCCUGGCGCUAGAUUAGAUUCUAAUGGGUAGAGGCCUCCUUGGGAUCUACCUUGAUGGAUAACUCUCUUCAUUUCCUGAUCCUUGAUACAAAAGAAGUUUGGAUGAAAUUCUAUGAAAGCAUCAUUAUCUCGGGCUAGUUUACGAACAGAAACUAGAUUCUUGCUAGCACUAGGAACAUGAAGGAUAUUUUUCAGGGGUAUGUAAAGUUGUAUGACCAAUGUUACUAAUUUUCAUACCUGUACCAUUGGCCGCAUGCACUUGAUCACAUCCAUUGUACUUGUCAUGAAUUGUCAUCUUCUCAAGUUCACUUGUGGCAUGAUCUGAAGAGCCACUAUCAACAUACCAAUUUGAAUCAUACCCAUAGCCGGCCGUGGUUGCCCUGCUGUUUUCUAACUUGGUUGAUCGUCAUCUUCAUCAUAUCUAUACCAGCAGCGAUUUGCUUCAUGCCCAACCUUCUUGCAAAUCUGGUAGACGAUCUUGUUAAUGCGACCACCUUGUUUGGGCGCACUAAAAUUGCUAGGGCUGGAGCUACUGUUUCCACCACUAGAUCCACCACAACCAUAAUUGUUGCGACCAAGACCACAAUUGUUGUUGUUGUUGUUACGAUCACGACCACCAUAGUUGCCAUGUCCUCUACCAAUCAUAUUAGCUGAUGAUUGAAAUUGUACUCCAUCUUGGAUCAUCUCCAUGCAUUGAUCAUACGUAAGCAAUUGAGAAUAUAGAUCGCUCAAGGAAAGAAAACCAACGUGACCAAGCAUAGAUGUCACAAAGGGGUUAUAGUCGAAAUCAAGACCAUUCAAAAUAAAGUGGAUCAUCUCAUCAUCAUCUAUAGUCUUCCCAACCAUAGCCGGUUCAUCUUUAAACGAGCACAUCUUGGUGAAGUAAACAGAAGAGGACAUGUUACCCUUCUUGGUCGUGGAAAGUAGAACGUGCAGAUUUGCAAUUCGCGCUUUGGAGUGCGCCGAGAACAUCCUCUCAAGCGCACCCCAUGCUUCUGCAGCUGUAGUUGUCGUCGCCACCGGUGCUAAUGCAUCCUUGGUGAGAAUUCAGCAGGUAGCUUAAUACUUACUAAUCUUUUGCGAUCUAGGAGUCGUACUCAGUGUUGUGGAUGAUCUCCUCCUUGCCGUCCUCCAUGACUACCUCCAAAGUCUUGGGCAGCACAGGGGUAGAUCCAUCUAGGAUCCCCAUGAGUUGAGCUCCUCGUAUAGCAGGAAGAAACUAGGCCUUUCAUAGAAGGUAAUUGUCUUGAGUCAAUUUCUCUGAGACAACUCCUUGCGCGGCAUAGCAGGAACUGAAAUUGACGCCAUAGGUGCUUGGGAGCUUGUGUUACAGGAGAUUUGGCGCAGGAGACGUUCCUGGCGCUGGCGCAGGAGAUGUGUCUGACGCAGGUGCAGGAGGUGUGCCUGACGCGUGCUUGGAAGCUUCUGUCCGGAGGUUUGGCGCAGGACAUUUGGUACAAGGAUUUUGUGGAUGUUAGGAAAAGGAUGCUCUGAUUAAAAUGUAAGAAAAGGAGGAAACGUGGUUGCCUAUCUUGGCUCACCAUGGUUGUAUGUUUAUAUAUGGUAAAAACCACCAAGAGUUUUACAAGGAUACAAUCGUGAUCACUUGGAACUCGGUUUGCUUUAUAAUUCGUAUUACAAGAGGUUUAUCUCUAAGCAACCAAGUCUAUCUCUAAUACCACAAUUGUCGCACACGUGCACACGUGUACGAAGAAGACGAAGGAGUCGUCGCGGACGCCCUUGACCCAGAAGGCCUCGCACCGUCCGGUGCCGCGCCUUACAGCCGCGUAGGCCAUGGCCUUGAGGGCGCCGACCGGUGAGGCGAGCGCGAUGCGGCCGCGCAGGUCAACGCGGUGCCACAGGUCGGGCUCCUCCCGGGCAGCGCGGCGCCGCAUGGGCAACACACGUGCUCGGCCCCCAUGAGGACGUCGGCCUGGUCCAGCCUGCGGAGCACGGACAGCAGCGCGUCCCUUGGCAGAUCCGCGCAAUCCCUCGUUUCCUCCUCCUCAUCCUCCUCACCCUUGCCUUCCAUACGUGGCACCUGCGCCGCUGGAGGCUGCCCUUGCUCAGCGAGGUGAGGUCAACGGUGGCGGGAGGAGGAAGAAGAUGUGGCCAUCGAUCGUCGUCCGGCCGUCCACCCAGGUUGUCAUUCUGGCUAUGUCGCCACGGCCGGGCCGUUGUGUUAUAGGCAACGGGGUCGCGUCCCAUCCCAUCAAUUCAUCGUCAGCGUUACGUUGGCGGUCAUGCCGGCUCACCAGAAAGCGAUACCUUUGUAGUUAAGCUGUUCCUUCGUGAGCAAGCUGCGGAUAAAUCUAUCAGUCUAUUAUUAUCAUAAUACAAUAGUAUUAAAAAUGUCACCAUAUUCGUCGAGGGUCUACAAAAUUUCCAUAUUAAUAAAAAAGAAGAAUAUAGACCGUUGUAUUUUAUGUAAAUCUAACGAUUUCUAUUAUUCUAAAGAAUCCAUAUAAAAUUAAAAAGUUGGCAUUUCUUAUCAAACUUGGAUUCCCUGUUUUCUUAACUUAAAAGGCAUACUACUAAUUCCUACCGGAAUAGGACUCCAUCUUUCCAUAAACAUGAUUCGGUUAAGUGCAAAAAGUCUAAAGAAAGAAAAGAUGCCAUCAUAAAGUCUCUAGUCAUGCAAAAAAGGGUGGAAGUUCACGUCAUCAACACAUGUUGUUUCAGAACUAAAUAAUGUUAGGCCGGUCAGGUGUCAUCACUGACUCUAAUAUAAAUAGAACAUUAGUGCAAUCGAUAAAAGUAACUUGGUUGCACAAAUUUUUCAACCGAAAAGUAUUUGCGGAUAUGUCAAUAAUUAUCUUAUUACAAUAGUGUUAAAAGAAACCACCAAGUUCCGCUGUCUACAAAUUUCCACAUUAAUUAAAAAAGAAAAAAGAAUAUAGACCAUUAGAUUUUGAGAUGAUAUAACAGUCCACGUAAUCCAAAGAGUUGAUAUCGAGUAGAACUAACCAAUAUAUGUACAUUUGAAAUAUCUAAAAAUAAGAAACAUUAGAAGCUUAUUUCUAUAUGGUCCGAGAAGUAUUAAAGCUAAAGAAAGUGUCCAUGCCAAAAUACAAACAAUAAAUAACUAAAUCUAUGUUAAAAAAUAAUGAGCAAAUGCUUUUCCAAUUGCCCUUGAUAUUGGUAAUUAGAAUCCUUAAGUAAAAUCCAUUUUGCAUAUAGUUAAUUAAUACCUAAACUUCAAAAUAAAAAAUAUUUUGGUAUAAAAGGAUAAAUACUCAAAUUCAUUUUAACUAAUCGAUACAAACAAUGUAAUAAAAAAUAUCCCACAAAGGAUGAAAUAUGACUAAAUAAAAAUACAACAUUCUUUGUCGAUUUUGAAUUAUAAGCUAGCAAUGUGCCUCUUUGGUUUCAAAACCGCACGCCGAAAAAAUGAGCGUGGUCCCACCACAAACAGAGCACGGUAGUGCCGCAAGAAGUGGGGGAUCGGAACCCCCGUGUGAUUAAGAUGACCGCACGCACAAUGCAGUGGCAUUCAAAGCAACGUCCAUCUCGCUAAGUAGUUGGCCCCUCACCUGAAGUUCGGAAUCCUCAGCUAGGAGUAGGGCCAGGGGUUGUUGUCAGCGUCAAGGGAACCAGGGUCCCCACGCAGACAUUCAAAGAGAAACAUAGACCGCCAUGUCGUGUGGAAGCAUGGGACAUGACAAGGAGCCACCUAGCAGUUAGGUCACAGGUCCUCGCACCUAGAGGCCCCAUGGGAUCUCGCACCGCAUAGCUCCCGAAGGUAACAGGGGCCCACUGAUGGCUCCAAAUGUCAUUCCCGGAACAACCUCGGGAGCCUGACCCACUUGGGAUCCACAUUGUAGGGGUGGGGGUGCAUGUGCGGGCGUUUCCUUCGCCGACGGUGCGAUGAGGUCACCUCCUGAGAGAUAUCAAUGUGCAUUCGGGGGGUUACAUGAUGACACAUGGCUGGAUCAAGGAUUCAAGCACCAUGAGUCCCAAGGCAGCCUAGGGACUCAAGGGUGGCGGCAACCGACUUGUUGUGUUCACAUUAAGAUGGUUUUAACUGCAGACAGCCUUCCCCGGGUACAAAAGGAGUGGAGCAUAACUCUCUUUGGACCCAAAAGAAACAACAGAGGAAAGUAACAACUCAAUGGACAUAGGGUAUUAUGCUCUUUUGCGGCCCAAACCAGUCUAAACUACUAUAUCAAAAACCCUCUCCCUUAACUCGUCCCAUCGGACCGGCGCUCUCAGUGCAAUACCACAAUCAGUCACUAUAGUAAACUGGCUCAUAGAGUCCAUAUUCUCUCGCCUAGAUCACUCAAACAAGCUGGACAGUGAUUCAUCAUUAUCCUACUACAUUUGUGUUAAAAGAAACCACCACUUUUAAGAGGGUCUAGAAAUAUUCCAACGUUAAUUAGAAAAAAAGAAAAGAAUAUAGAACAUCAGAUUUUAUGAUGUAAUCAAUAUAGGAUACAACUAAUCAAUAUAUUUAUAAAUUUUGAAUAUUUAAAACAUGAAAAUUAGAAGCUAAUUAUUAUAUGGUUUGGGACGUACUAAAGCUAAGUAAAGAGUCCACGAAAAUAUAGCUAAUAAAUUUAUAAAUCUAUGUUAAAGAAUAAUGAGAAAAUGCUUUUUCAAAAGCCUUGACUACUAAAAAUCGGUUUUUAGAGGCGAUUGAAAUGACAUUUGUAGGGGCGGGCGCGCCACCUGCUCCUACCUUUCGCAGCUAUGAAUAGCUAUUUGCAGGAGCGGGUAAAAGGUCCGCCCCUGUAAAGUCGUUUCCAAGGGCAGGUGACGCCAUCACCCGCCACUGGUAAUGGUAUCUUCACGGGCAGGUGACGCCAUCACCCGCCCCUGCCAACUAUUUUGCAGGGGCGGGUGACGCCAUCACUCCCCUUGGAAAUAUCAUUCCUGCCAAAAAAUUCAGUGAUUGAAAUUUGAAUUUGCUGAAACUGUUGCCUGCCAGUUUUUAAAACUUUUGGUUCCCGCUAAUUUCACUCUAACAGUCUAGUGUGCGACCGAAUUGAAGAAGCUAUAGUGAUCGACGUAGAAUAUAUGUUACAUAAAUUUCAUGUAAGCAUACGAAAUAAUAAUAAGAAAAUAGAACCAUAUAUAUACAUCAUUAGAGUGCACAUUGACAACAUCUUUUUCUGCCACUCACGAAGGCUAGAAUUGGCGGUACUCUUGAUUCUCCCACUCACAGAGGUUAACAUAUUUAUCUUCUUCUGCUAAUUCAUGUUCUUGUGCAAAAUGAAAUGAUAUAGAUCAGCGCCUAUAUUUCGAAGUUGUUGCUCAUGGAGACGCGAACUGUGUAGUCGAGACCUAAUCUGCAAUUAAAAUCCACGGAAAAAUUAAUCAAGUGUUAGAUAGGUGGAAAAGAAUGCAAUGUACAUACAUAUACAUCCCUAUAGUGAUAUAAUUUUUAGUUAAUCCUCUAAAUUGGCUACCCCAUAAUUAUUUUCAGGAAAAUUAACGGAAUCGAUUCACAUUGACUUGUUAUAGCGAUUGACUCAGUAUAAGACAUGAUUAAAAAGUGAUUAGCAAGAUGAUUACAUGGCCGAAGUCGCUGUUAUAUGAUAUAAACAAAUGUUAAACUAAGGUGGCAAUGGUAAACGCAUCGACUUAGAUAGUUAAGGUUUGAUUUGCACCAAAUCAAACAUGAGGGAUGAAUAUCACGUGUUCGUAAUACUUAAAAACCACUAAGGGCUAUGCCCGAAUUUCAUUACCUGUGACCGUAACAAAAUUACGGAGUCUUACACGCAUAUGCGAGUUCAGAACCUCACCACAGUUGUAGAAGAUAAAUCUCCAGAAAGUAGACACCAAGGGACUCCUCACUGGAGAAAGUAUUACGAUUACAAUAAACCAUGAGGCAGCUCCUGCCUAAUUUCAGAUAAGCUUUUCUACACCAAAGACAGAUCUCUUUAUCCACCUCAAGCUUUAACCUGGUAGAACAGCCAGCUCUCCUCCUUUUUCCCCUACUGAAGAAGAACUGUUCCUGUGUCAUUCACCGUUGCUUCAUGUGGAUGAAAGUGGAGCGCCAUCUCCUUCAUUGCUUCUGCUCCCGUCUCCGGAAUCACCUUGUCCUCCAGCUUUUGCAAACCUGUCCAGCACAAAAUAAAAGAUGCUGCUAAACAAAUAAUCUCUGUAGGGGAUUUAGCAUGCUUUUUGUCAAAACAUACAGAGUUCCUGGACUUCCAUAAAGCCCAGCACACUGCUGACGGACCCACUAUAUGGAUCUUUUUCUCUUGAGGCAAAUACCUUCUAACCCAAACCCAGAAGUAUUCAAAAGAAGUUGGCCUACAAGAAGCAUUUAUAAUCAUGGCAAUCAAGCUCCACACAUAUCUAGCUAUAGAACAAUCGAAAAAAGGUGUUCAACAGAUUCAUCAGCCGAACAGAAACUACAUUUUUUAUCUCCAUGCCAUUUCAUUUUAAUCAGAUUAUCCUUUGUUAGAAUCUCUGUUCGCCUAAACAGCCGUUUAGUCCGUUUAAACAGCGUUUAAACGCUAAACAGAGGCCUCCCAUGUUGUUUAGGCCCUAAAUGGUGAAUUAAACAGUUGGACCAUUUAAACCCAUUUAAACCAUUAAAAACCGUCUAAACAGAAUCGAGUUAAAUGUGAUUAGAUGAGCUAAAUGAUCAUUUAAUUCAUAAUUUAAUCAAUAAGAGGAUUACAACUACCACAAUCAACACUAAACUAAUUAGCAUCGUAAGUAUAUGAAGUGUUGUGGGAUUUAGAUUUCUUCCAAAAAGAUUAUUUGGUAGAAUACUUACAUUUUACAUUUGUAAACAUAUAGACUUUCUAGCAUAUUUGACUUUUAUAUACAUAAAUAUGUAUAUUUUAGUGUUAUUAUACAAAACCGUUUAGGUCGUUUAAUCCUGUUUAAACACCAUUUAAAUGGCCUAAACGCUAAAUAAAGGGUGACCGACUGUUUAGUGUUUAGCGUUUAGGAUAACAUUGGUUAGAAUAGCAUUUUGCUGAAUUAACCGCAUGAAGAUUUUUAUUUUCAGUGGAACUUUUCCUUUCCAAAUUCUCUUAUUAGGAGUCUCUAUGUCAGAGCUACACAAAUGAGAAUACAUUGAUUUCACAGAGAACACUCCUGAUUUUUCCCACACCCAUACAUGGGCAUCUUUCUCUUCUGACAGAGCACAUGAUGUAAUCAUGUCUCUCAUCUGUCUGAUCUUGUUUUGAGCACUUUCAUCUAACCAUCUCCGAAAAGAUAACCUCCACCCUCUACUAGCCAUUGUGGCUACACUUCCUAUUUGUUCAUUGCAUAUUUUAAAAAGUUUCUGGAAUUUCUGUUUUAGAGGAACAGAUCCACACCAUGGAUCUCUCCAGAGAUCUGCAUUUCUCCCAUUGCCCAGUUUAACUAUUCUACCUUUCAAGUACAGCGCUCUGACCUUUAGAAGAUCAUUCCACACAGAGGAAUUUCAAGGUUUUGGUUAGCUGGGUUAUAACCCCUUCUGUCAUAUAUUUCUUUUUAGCAAUUUCUUGCUAAAGGCCUUCUUCCAUUUUCAAGUUUCCACCACCAUCUACAUAACAAGCUCAGAUUCAUUUUCUCCAAAUCUUUAAUGCACAGACCACCUUUCCUCUUUGGCCUAGCAAUCUUGACCCAUUUAACUAGAUAGUAUUUCUUCCUAGUCCCCCCUCUUUGCCAAAAAAAUCUCUUUCUAGUUCUAUCCAUUCUUUUGAGAAUUAUUUUCCGAAGUAGAUCCAAGAACAUCCCAUAUGUUGGAGUGCUACUUAAGCAGGCAUUUAUCAGGGUUAGCCUCCCCCCAAUCAAUAGCGAGCUUCCCUGCCAACCAUCCAAUCUUUUAAGAAAUUUCUCAUCCAAGAAAAGCCAAUCCAUAAUGUGUAAUCUAGAACCAGACACAGGUACCCCAAGUUACUUAAUAGGCCAAGUACCAGUAGCACAAUCAUCAUUUCAGAGUACUCAAGUGAUUUCUGUUCAUCUUGUGAGAUCAUAAUAACCUCACUUUUAUUGAAGUUUAUUUUGAGACCUAAUAUUUUUUUCAUAUAGAUACAAAAGAAGUUUCAUAUUUUGUGAUGUUUCCUCAUUGUCUUGCAUACAAAGAAUUGUAUCAUCUGCAUAUUGUAGGGUUGCUACCCCAUUGGCAAUGUAAUCAGGGACUAGUCCUUUCACCGGCCCAUUUUCUUGUGCUUUGCUAAUCAUUUUAGCUAGAGUGUCAGCUGCAAGGUUGAAGAGAAGGGGAUACAAAGGAUCCUCUUGUCUUACACCCUUGCCGCUCUUAAAGUAACCUCCUAUCAUUUGCUCUCACACUCAAAGUUCGACUCGAAACCAUUUCGUUAAUCCUAGCACACCAAUCCCCACAAAGCCUCUCUGUUUCAAACAAUCAAAUAAGAAAUUCCAGCUUAUUUUAUCAUAAGCUUUUUCAAAAUUAAGCUUUAGCACCAAGCCAUCUUUUCCUUUAAUCUUCAUAUCAUGAAGAAUCUCAUGUAAACUCAGCACACCGUCCAUAAUGUUUCUUCCUUUUAUAAAAGAUAUUUGACAUCUAUUAAUAAUUCUACUCAUACGGUCUUCAAAUCUUAAUAUCAGGAUUUUAGUUAUUAUUUUAUAAAUCACAUUAAGUAAACAGACUCCGACGCUUGUUCCUAGAUAUAAAAAGAAGUAGGGCACCUAAUAUGAGAUACGAGUCAAGGAUUGAGACCACUAGUGAGAAGGCAAAGAAAUCGUUUUUAUGUAUCGGAAGGGAAAGAAGAACCAUCCAUUGGCAAGCACCCACUCAACUAGAUGCUAAACAUCGACUUGCGAGACGAGCUUGCGGUGUUGCUCUUGAAAGAAAGGAAAAGAGGAGGAUAUCCUCGGUAACGGCAAUCAACGGCUCCUCGGAGGCAACCUAGCCAAUUGAGUAGAGAUAUGAAAUGACGAGCGAAUUACCCGAUUCCUAUUAUGCUAGCCCCCGGGAUAGCGAUAGCCUUGUUUCGGAUUUUCUAGCGAUGACUAGCCCUUUGACGGCUCCUAUCCCAGACACCGGCCCCCGGUACCAAUACUAGAGAUUUCCCUUGGCUGUAGUUCAAAGAAGUUCUUCGGCUUUGGGAAGAUGCGAACGUCCACAUGGUAGUUGAACUCUUCCGGCAAAUCCUCCAUUAUUGGCUUCAGCUUCUUGCAAAGAAAGAUGUUCAAAAAGAAAGAACUGGAAAAGAUAUGGAACAGGGUCAAAACUAUCCAGCAAAUACAGGCCGAAAGGCAAAGGGUCUCCGUUCACCGAAAAAUCGUUCUCCUUAAAAGGGGGGAGCCUAUUCUCGGGCGAGUUCCAGCAAUUCACGUAGGGCAUUAGUAGAAAGCUUUUGAGCUAACCCCACAUAUAGUUAUAGUUAUUGAUCCCAUCUACAUUAGUUAGUUGAUCCUCGAAAAAGCCCAAGAGCGAUGAAGGUGCCACACCAGUAAGGCUUUUCUCGUAUCGAAUGAUUAAGAGUUCGCUCACAUUUACGAGCGCUAGCCCUUUUGGGAACAACAACGGCUUCCUAUUGAAAAUCCAGCUAGUUCGAAUAGCCGAGGACAGGAUUGAUCAUUUUAUUUAUAUAUAUGGGAAAGUAGUAAAUUGCAUUUUCCCUAAGGUCACCAAUUGCAAAAAAGUUAGUUUCAUAUAUAGGCCAAAUCAAUGCAAUGUGCGACGGGCGCCUAGCUUCGGGCUAUCCUUUCUUAUCCUUUCCCUUCUUUUUGUGGAGAGGUGUCCAAAAUUUAGAGUUAUACCGCUGCUUUUUAUUUUCCCAUUCAACCAAGGGGUAUGCCUCCGAAAUAACGCUUCGGCUGACGUCGUCUAUCGUAAGAAGAGGUUCUUCACGAAUGCAUU